rnacentral:rRNA from 1 species
UGGGGAAUCUACCGCAAUGGGCGCAAGCCUGACGGAGCAACGCCGCGUGAGUGAAGAAGGUCUUCGGAUCGUAAAGCUCUGUUGAUGGGGACGAACGUGCCUAAUGCGAAUAGUAUUAGGUAAUGACGGUACCCAUCGAGGAAGCCACGGCUAACUACGUGCCAGCAGCCGCGGUAAUACGUAGGUGGCGAGCGUUGUCCGGAAUCAUUGGGCGUAAAGGGAGCGCAGGCGGGCAUGUAAGUCUUUCUUAAAAGUGCGGGGCUCAACCCCGUGAUGGGAAAGAAACUAUGUGGCUUGAGUACAGGAGAGGAAAGCGGAAUUCCCAGUGUAGCGGUGAAAUGCGUAGAUAUUGGGAGGAACACCAGUGGCGAAGGCGGCUUUCUGGACUGCAACUGACGCUGAGGCUCGAAAGCCAGGGGAGCGAACGGG